UACAGAGACCUCACGCGUUACUCGGAUUCACUGGGCGUAAAGGGAGCGCAGGCGGUCAAAUGUGUCAGGUGUGAAAUCCCAAGGCUUAACUUUGGAACAGCGCCUGAAACUGUUUGAGUUGAGAGUCGGAGGGGUAAGCGGAAUUCCAGGUGUAGCGGUGAAAUGCGUAGAUAUCUGGAGGAACACCAACGGCGAAGGCAGCUUACUGGGCGAGAUCUGACGUUCACGCUCGAAAGUGUGGGGAGCAAAAGGG
rnacentral:rRNA from 1 species